GGUCCCAUAGCUCAGUGGAAGAGCGCUCGCUUCACACGCGAGAGGUCGCUGGUUCGAACCCAGCUGGGACCA
rnacentral:tRNA from 2 species